GCCGGGGUGGCUCAGUCGGUUAAGUGUCUGACUUCAACUCAGGUCACGAUCUCACAGUUUGUGGGUUCGAGCCCCAUAUCGGGUU
rnacentral:tRNA from 1 species